AGCGAACGCUGGCGGCAGGCUUAACACAUGCAAGUCGAACGGUCCUUCGGGAUAGUGGCGGACGGGUGAGUAACACGUGGGAACGUACCCUUAGGUUCGGAACAACACGGGGAAACUUGUGCUAAUACCGGAUAAGCCCUUCGGGGGGAAGAUUUAUCGCCUUUGGAGCGGCCCGCGUCUGAUUAGCUUGUUGGUGAGGUAAUGGCUAACCAAGGCUACGAUCAGAAGCUGGUCUGAGAGGAUGGCCAGCCACACUGGGACUGAGACACGGCCCAGACUCCUACGGGAGGCAGCAGUGGGGAAUCUUGCGCAAUGGGCGAAAGCCUGACGCAGCCAUGCCGCGUGGAUGAUGAAGGUCUUAGGAUUGUAAAAUCCUUUCACCGGGGACGAUAAUGACGGUACCCGGAGAAGAAGCCCCGGCUAACUUCGUGCCAGCCGCCGCGGUAA
rnacentral:rRNA from 1 species